rnacentral:rRNA from 1 species
CAGGCCUAACACAUGCAAGUCGAACGAAGGCUUCGGCCUUAGUGGCGCACGGGUGCGUAACGCGUGGGAAUCUGCCCUUGGGUUCGGAAUAACAGUUAGAAAUGACUGCUAAUACCGGAUGACGACGUAAGUCCAAAGAUUUAUCGCCCAAGGAUGAGCCCGCGUAGGAUUAGCUAGUUGGUGGGGUAAAGGCCCACCAAGGCGACGAUCCUUAGCUGGUCUGAGAGGAUGAUCAGCCACACUGGGACUGAGACACGGCCCAGACUCCUACGGGAGGCAGCAGUGGGGAAUAUUGGACAAUGGGCGAAAGCCUGAUCCAGCAAUGCCGCGUGAGUGAUGAAGGCCUUAGGGUUGUAAAGCCCUUUUACCCGGGAUGAUAAUGACAGUACCGGGAGAAUAAGCUCCGGCUAACUCCGUGCCAGCAGCCGCGGUAAU